GUUUGCUUAUUCAAAAGAGAAAGGACCUUCUUUAACCUGGAAAGCUUAGUAGCCAAAACAUACAUAGGUGCACCCUCAACAGGAACCGCCAACUUUC